CUGGAUUGGCGUUGGCGCAUUACUUGGAUACAUCAUGCUCUUCAACAUCCUCUUCAUUCUGUUCCUUGAAUGGCUUGACCGUGAGUAUCAUCUCAGCUCUGAAACACAUAGAUUAGCAUAUUCAAACAUCAUUUAUUUGGCAUUGACACCAUAUUAUGACUGCAGCACUUGGAAAAGGUCAGGCUGUUGUUUCUGAAGAGGAAUUGAGGGAAAAACAUGUAAACCGUACCGGAGAAAAUGUUGAGCUGCUGACUCUUGGAACAGAUUCCCAGAAUUCACCUUCUGAUGGUCAGUCUUUUUAGUACAUUCCUCUGUAUUAUGGCAUUGAACAAGAUAUGCCAUUUUGUUGUGUCCUUUUAACAAGUAUAGCAAAUGCAGGAAGAGGAGAGAUUACAGGAGCUGACACCAGGAAGAGAGGAAUGGUACUUCCAUUUACUCCUCUGUCGAUCACCUUCGACAAUAUCAGAUACUCUGUGGAUAUGCCUCAGGUAAGCAAGCAUUGGAAGCCUCCCUGUGUGUAACAAAUAUACCACCAAAUGCUAUUAUGCUAAUCCCGAUGCACAAUUUUU
rnacentral:lncRNA from 1 species